rnacentral:rRNA from 1 species
UACAGAGGGUGCGAGCGUUGUUCGGAAUUAUUGGGCGUAAAGGGCGCGUAGGCGGUGCGGUAAGUCACCUGUGAAAUCUCCUGGCUUAACUGGGAGCUUGCAGGCGAAACUGCCGUGCUGGAGUGUGGGAGAGGUGCGUGGAAUUCCUGGUGUAGCGGUGAAAUGCGUAGAUAUCAGGAGGAACACCUGUGGCGAAAGCGGCGCACUGGACCACAACUGACGCUGAGGCGCGAAAGCGUGGGGAGCAAACAGG